rnacentral:pre_miRNA from 1 species
AAUGUUUGACGCCAUUGACUUUUUAACACAUGUUUGACCGUUCGUCUUAUUCAAAAAAUUUAAGUAAUUAUUAAUUCUUUUUCUAUCAUUUGAUUCAUUGUUAAAUAUAUUUUGAUGUAGGCAUAUAAAUUUACAUAUUUCACAAACUUUUUGAAUAAGACGAACGGUCAAACAUGUGCUAAAAAAUCAACGGUGUCAAACAUU